rnacentral:rRNA from 1 species
AAAGCAUUUCAUUUACAUUGAAAAGAAUUUUGUGCAAUKCAUUAUUAUAGUUGAAUAAAUUUUAUUAAUUAAUUAAUGUUUGUAGUUUAUUUAAUUUAUUAAAAAUAAUUAUAAAAUUAAAUGUUUUAGUAUUUUAUAAAGAAAAAAUAAUAUUAAUAAUAGUUUAUUAGUAUCGUGAGAGAAAAUUGAAAUAAUUUGAAAAAUUUUUAUGGGAAAAGAAAAUUUAAUUUAUUGUACCUUGUGUAUCAGGGUUUAUUAAUUAAAAAAUAUUUAUAUAUUUUUCUCGAUUUUGAAAGAGUUAAUAGAUUAAAAAAGUUAAUGUGACAAGAUUAUUUUUAAUAGUCUAUUAGAAAUGAAAUGUUAUUCGUUUUCAAAGGUAUCUAGUUCUUUUAGAAAUAAAUUUAAUUUAGAAAAUUUUGAUUUACUUAGCUAAUUAAUUAGUUGAUUAAUUAAAAUUUUUAAUAUUUUAUGGGAUAAGCUGUAAAAUAAAUCAUUAAAAAUAAUUUAUAAUAUUUAAAAGUAUAUGCUUAGAAUUAGCAAUUAUUAAAAAAUUUGUUAUAAUUUAUUUAAUAAAGAGUAUUAUUUAUUAAGUUUUAAUUUUUUAUAAAAGUUUUUAUUAUAGCAGAAAAAAUAAAUAAAUAAUGAUAAAAUUAGUAUAUGAAAAUUGUAAAAAUAUUUUUAAAUGAAAAGUUUUUUUAAAGAAUUCGGCAAAAAUAAUGUUCGCCUGUUUAACAAAAACAUGUCUUUUUGUAAUAAAUUUAAAGUCUAACCUGCCCACUGAAAAUUAAAUGGCCGCAGUAUACUAACUGUGCAAAGGUAGCAUAAUCAUUAGUCUUUUAAUUGAAGGCUUGUAUGAAUGGUUGGACGAGAUAUUAACUGUUUCAAGAGAAUUUUUUAUAGAAUUUUAUUUUUUAGUCAAAAAGCUAAAAUAGGUUUAAAAGACGAGAAGACCCUAUAAAUCUUUAUAUUUUGUUUAUUUAAAUUUAUUAGACUUAUUUUGUUUUUAUAAAUUAAAAUAUUUUAUUGGGGUGAUAUUAAAAUUUGAUAAACUUUUAAUUUAUUAAAUCAUUGAUUUAUGAAUAAUUGAUCCGUUACUAGCGAUUAAAAAUUUAAGUUACUUUAGGGAUAACAGCGUAAUUUUUUUGGAGAGUUCUUAUCGAUAAAAAAGAUUGCGACCUCGAUGUUGGAUUAAGAGAUAAGUUUAGGUGUAGCCGCUUAAAUGUUAAGUCUGUUCGACUUUUAAAUUCUUACAUGAUCUGAGUUCA